UCUGAUCUUCUCAGGGGUUUUUGAACACAGCAUUGAUGGAUGCCACAGGCCGCGCUUUUCACAGUUGUGGAUGAUGUAAACACGUCAGGUGCUGUGCACACCCGGAACCCACAUAGAUUGUAUUGAAAGCUCUGUUUUCUGAAAAAUAUUGAUUUUACAUGAGAGUCUAGAAGAGAUGUGUGGAGUGAUUUUCAACUUGACUGAAAU